GCUUCCCUGGCUCAGUUGGUUAGAGCGUCAGUCUCAUAUCUGUGUGCGUAAUCAUAAGAUUACUUCAUCUGAAGGUCGUGAGUUCGACCCUCACGGGGAGCA